rnacentral:tRNA from 1 species
GGCGGAUGAAGCCAAGUGGA